rnacentral:rRNA from 1 species
GACGAACGCUGGCGGCGUGCUUAACACAUGCAAGUCGAACGGAAAGGCCCUGCUUUUGUGGGGUGCUCGAGUGGCGAACGGGUGAGUAACACGUGAGUAACCUGCCCUUGACUUUGGGAUAACUUCAGGAAACUGGGGCUAAUACCGGAUAGGAGCUCCUGCUGCAUGGUGGGGGUUGGAAAGUUUCGGCGGUUGGGGAUGGACUCGCGGCUUAUCAGCUUGUUGGUGGGGUAGUGGCUUACCAAGGCUUUGACGGGUAGCCGGCCUGAGAGGGUGACCGGACGCAGGGGGAGCGAGAUGCGGCGCGGACGACUCCGGGGGGCAGCAGGGGGGGUGGGUGCACGCGGCGCGGAGUCUGGACGCAGUGCUGCCGUGUGAGGGAGGAGGGCUUUCGGGUGGGAUAACGCGGGCGCCGGGGAAGAAGCGUGAGGGAGGCUAAGGGGUAAAGAAGCAAAGGCGAACUACGUG